GACGAACGCUGGCGGCGUGCCUAACACAUGCAAGUCGAGCGAGUGGAUCUCCUUCGGGAGAGAAGCUAGCGGCGGACGGGUGAGUAACACGUGGGCAACCUGCCUCAUAGAGGGGAAUAGCCUCCCGAAAGGGAAAUUAAUACCGCAUAAGAUUGUAGCUUCGCAUGAAGUAGCAAUUAAAGGAGUAAUCCGCUAUGAGAUGGGCCCGCGGCGCAUUAGCUAGUUGGUGGGGUAACGGCUCACCAAGGCGACGAUGCGUAGCCGGCCUGAGAGGGUGAUCGGCCACAUUGGGACUGAGACACGGCCCAGACUCCUACGGGAGGCGGCAGUGGGGAAUAUUGCACAAUGGGGGAAACCCUGAUGCGGCAGCGCCGCGUGAGUGAUGACGGCCUUCGGGUUGUAAAGCUCUGUCUUCAGGGACGAUAAUGACGGUACCUGAGGAGGAAGCCACGGCUAACUACGUGCCAGCCGCCGCGGUAAGAC
rnacentral:rRNA from 1 species